UACGUAGGGUGCAAGCGUUAAUCGGAAUUACUGGGCGUAAAGCGUGCGCAGGCGGUUGUGCAAAACAGAUGUGAAAUCCCCGGGCUUAACCUGGGAACUGCAUUUGAAACUACAAGGCUAGAGUGUGGCAGAGGGGGGUGGAAUUCCACGUGUAGCAGUGAAAUGCGUAGAGAUGUGGAGGAACACCGAUGGCGAAGGCAGCCCCCUGGGUUAACACUGACGCUCAGGCACGAAAGCGUGGGGAGCAAACAGG
rnacentral:rRNA from 1 species